UACGUAGGGUGCGAGCGUUGUCCGGAAUUAUUGGGCGUAAAGGGCUCGUAGGCGGUCUGUCGCGUCGGGAGUGAAAACUCAGGGCUUAACCCUGAGCCUGCUUCCGAUACGGGCAGACUAGAGGUAUGCAGGGGAGAACGGAAUUCCUGGUGUAGCGGUGGAAUGCGCAGAUAUCAGGAGGAACACCGGUGGCGAAGGCGGCGACCUGGGUCGAGACUGACGCUGAGGCGCGAAAGCGUGGGGAGCAAACAGG
rnacentral:rRNA from 1 species